rnacentral:rRNA from 1 species
CGAAGCAUGAGCUGUGAUGGGGAAGGAAAUUAAGUACGGAAGUUCCUGAUUUCACGCUGUCAAGAAAAGCCUCUAGGAAGAGUAGUACUGCACGUACCGCAAACCGACACAGGUAGAUGAGGAGAGAAUCCUAAGGUGAGCGAGAGAACUCUCGUUAAGGAACUCGGCAAAAUGACCCCGUAACUUCGGGAGAAGGGGUGCUCUAUUAGGGUGCAAGCC